CGGCCAACAGGUUGGUCUGUCUGUCGCUCUCCUUGUGUGGCUGUGUGUGUGUGUGUGUGUGUGUGUGUGUGUGUGUGUGUGUGUGUGUGUGUGUAAGAUUCAAGGAUUAAGAACAGUUACUUCUCUUCCACAGGACCUAGGAUAGGCUGACAGCACUCACAUGAUAGCUCACAGCCAUCUCCAGUUCCCCUAUAGGGAACUGAUAUCUCUUCUGACCUUUGUAAGCUUAAGCAGGUAUGUAGCACAUACACAUAAAAUCAGAUACUUAAAAGAAAACACAACAGGACAGGACACAACACAAUACAACACAACACAACACAACAGAAAGGACUGUAGAGUGACCUGAGACAGUACAUUCUGAAAGCUCUCCUGAAUGUAGUCAGGAGAGUACAAGUGCUUCAGUGGAGACAGACGUGUAGCUCUUGUGCAUUCUGUAGAAAAAGUCUUUAUUUUUAAUUCUAAAUAGUAAUUUUCUCUUAUAUCUUACACAAAACAUUUAUUUCUAAGAUAAGGAAUAAGCCACCUACAAUCUAUAUCAAUGUAGAGAUGACCUUUCAGUAAUUCAAUGAAUGUAAGCUUUGUAACCUCAUAGAAUUUCCUGAUGUAGUAAAGCUUUUGUAUAAUGAAAUUCUGUCCAUUGGAUUUUAUUAUGCAUUGAAUAAAGUGUUUUCUCUUUAAGGUUUGGGUGUGUGUGUGUGUCUCUGUGAAUGUGUAUGGUACAUAUAUGCAGAUGCCCUUACAGGCCAGAUGAUGAUUCAGGAUGCCCUGAAUGAGCUGUUGUAAAUGGCAAUUGGAUCCCACCCAACCUCAGUACCCAGAAAUGAACUUGGGCCAUCUAGAAGGGCAGCCAUUGUUCUUACUUGCCAAGUCAUUCUUUUCAAAUGAACAAGGACCCAACAUGUCUACUACCAGCUCCAGCCUCCAUUCCAGCACAAAGUGACAAAUCAGGGCACCUGUUACUUCUGCUUCAUCCAGGCAAGGGCCAGUUGCAGUUCCAAAGACCUGCUGUCGUUUAGAAUGUAUUGAGAACCAAAAGGAGUAACAUAUCUUUCAAUAAGGACAAGAAGUGACACAGACACCACCAACAAGGAAGACUCCUGGGCCAAAGCCACAGUGACCAAGGAAAAUAAAAACAAACACCUUUCAUAUGUGAA